rnacentral:lncRNA from 1 species
AAGCAUUUAAUGCUCCUUUACAUACUUCCCAAAUGUAAAUCAUGAGAAAAGCAUAGACUGUCUUCCGUGAAAUGUUCAAGAAAUUCUAAAUGAAAGUCAUUUUUAUAAAUAUGUUGGCUGCAUAGUUUUGACUUAACCUUAUCUAAAUCAUACCAUUAAGUCUGUAAAACUUCUAAAUAAUACCAAUAAUCUUUGUGAGAAAAAGUUUCAUGAUUGUUCUACAGUAAAUUCAACAGAAUUGGAUUCUCCCACAGUAAAUUCUAAUUAAAUGCUAAAUAGCAAUAGGCCAUCAACACAUAACUAAAAUCUCACCCAGCAUGCCAGGGUGCUGCUCUUACUUGAUUUUCACCUGUAUGAUUAGAACAUUCCCUGUCUUCACAUGUGAUAAACUAUAUGUAUACGUGUGUAUGUAUGUACAUAUGUAUGUCUUGUGUGUUGCUGGCACAGCCCUGACACUAAUUAGGAUGUGCUCUAUCACAUAUCUGGAGAGUUUAUCCCACUAGUGUGAUGAGCUUGUGUCAUAACAGCAGAAUUAAGCCAUUCUCCAUCAGUUUCAUUUGGUAAUUAUGGGAUGCCUUCCUGGGCUGCUUUCAUUUAGUUUUCUCAAUGAAUACAUUCAGAUUUUAAAUUGUGUUCAUAAUUCUCCCAGUUGAAAAACAAUGCUGUCUGAAGAUGCCUUUGUUAUACUUGAGACUCGGUGCAUAUUCAGUCUGAGAAAAGGAAUGGAAACAGGUGCACUACUCAGUGUAUGUCAAGGAAGAGAGAAAGCCAAAAGCAACAAAAGAGGAACCCCGAGCCUGGCUGGCAGGCAAGGUGACCUCCCAGGGCAUUAUUCCUGACAGGGCAUCAAGCAAGCUGAAAACACUACUGCAAGGACUUCACAUUAUGAAAUCAGCACAGAACACAGGAAAAUUAUCAUUUUUAUCUGGAAUUAGGAAAAAAUGUUAAAAAUCAUGGUCCAGAAGAGAAAGAACAUCUGCAUGGUUUUUUAAAUCCUAUUUUUGCUCAUUUUCAAGCCUUUUUUACUUUUGUUUUUUACAUUUUAUCUCUAAAUAUUUGUGUUUUAUUGUUUUUUUUCAAGUUUUUUUUAAACUUAACUGAGAAAUAUUUGUUCAGAUCUUAAUAUCAGGUGAAAUUGGAAGUACAAUCUUGUUUAAAAUGUAAUAUUAAAGAUCAUUCCACUUAGUAUUCAUUUAUUCUAAUAUGUACUUUUCCUAAGGAUUGUCACUGAUAUUCUGUAGGUUUUGUUUUAAGAUAUAGGAGCUGGGCAUAGUAACUCAUGCCUGUAAUCCUAUAAUUUGGGAGAGUGGGCAGAAAGACCUUGAGUUCAAGGCCAACCUGGGCUACAGGGUAAGUCCCUGUUUCUAAAUAAAGUAUUCUGGUUAUUUUUAGUCACCUUAUAUGUGUUAUAAAGGUUGGUGACUGCCCCUCAUCAGACUUCUAUGCUAACCUGGGAUAGGAAAAUAUGGUGUUGUCACCUGUUCAACAAUCAUGUUGCAUUUACAUGCCUUAUGUUUUCUGGGGGUGUUUGAAAUCCAACCUGAUAAAUAUACUAUCAUAAGUAGGGUUUUUAUUUCUCAUUCAAGCACUUUCCAUCAUAAGGGUGGUUGAAAUUAACAUGUCUCUUAGGUUCUGAACCAGUUCAAAGGUACUCCUCUUACUCAAGUACAGUACAAAAUAAUUCAAGACAGAGAUCCGUCACUAUAGCUGUCUGUGGAUCUCUAUAACUGUUUGAUCAUCCAAUUCAUGAAAGGAGUAAAGAGUUGUUUUUCCAAAGUGAAAAUGCUUAAACCUUGGUUUUAUGUCCAAAACUAUCCAUACUGCCUCAAAAUCUUACAGUUCUUCACGGAUUCCAAUGGUCUUAAGGGGGCGGGAGCCCCAGCGUGUGAAGUUGUGUCUCUUUGCACCUCACUUUGCUUGCUCCUGUACAGAUGUCUUUCUGUUCAUCUGUCCAUGUACUUGAGGACCUCUUCCCCACCCAUGGAUGUCUCCCCAGCUAUUCUCUCUGUGCCAGAUCUGCAGGAUACCCCACCUCUCCCAGCACCAAUCACCAGCCAUGGUGGAACCACUGACUCUGGAGUGACCACCUCUAAUUCCCUGCUUUUCAGGCCUCCAAGCAAAGGUCACACACUGACCUGGAAGCCGACUUUGUACAUUCCUGACACUCCUCGAUGUUUUCUGUGAACCUGACAUAAAAUUCCUCAUUACUGAGGCCUUUCAACUUCUUUUGUAACGCAGGCUUCGGUUGCUCUCUCUCUUCCUGAAGCUGGUCUAGAAUAUCAAUUCCUAGCUAGUGAAGAUGCUAUGUGAAAUGCCUGCAGUGUUGAGUCCGGGGCUCCAAUCCAUGUAUCUGAAGGGAGACAAAAAAAUAACAUUUAAAUGAAGUAUUGUGAGUAGCUUCCUAAUUCUGUUCAUCUCUCAAAAGUGUACUCCCAGCUUGGAGUCUCUUAAGACAGUGGUUCCCAACCCUCCUGAUGCUGUGACCCUUUAAUGUAGUUCCUCAUGUUGUGGUGACCCCAAACCAUAAAAGUAUUUCGUUGCCACUUCAUAACUGACUUUGCUACUAUUAUGAAUUGUAAUAUAAAUAUCUGAUAUGCAGAAUAUCUGGUAUAUGACCCUUUUGGGGUUGCAUAGGUUGAGAACCCCUGUCUUAAAGUGUAAACAGUAAAUGUGUAUAAAUGAGGACAAUUAAGUCAAGUAUUAAGCUUGUUCUUUAGAUAUUUUCUUUGUAACUCAAGAGUAAGCCAAGUUCGUGGAGAAUGUAGUGUGGUCAUGAAAGAUGUAUUCUGUAAGCCAGGAGAAGCAGCCUU